rnacentral:rRNA from 1 species
UACGAAGGGGGCUAGCGUUGCUCGGAAUCACUGGGCGUAAAGGGUGCGUAGGCGGGUCUUUAAGUCAGGGGUGAAAUCCUGGAGCUCAACUCCAGAACUGCCUUUGAUACUGAGGAUCUUGAGUUCGGGAGAGGUGAGUGGAACUGCGAGUGUAGAGGUGAAAUUCGUAGAUAUUAGGAAGAACACCGGUGGCGAAGGCGGCCAUCUGGCUCGGUAC